rfam:Triticum aestivum genome assembly, contig: Triticum_aestivum_CS42_TGACv1_scaffold_666636_T_6BS-0.161842_1BS-0.088833
CGACCCCAGGUCAGGCGGGACUACCCGCUGAGUUUAAGCAUAUAAAUAAGCGGAGGAGAAGAGACUUACAAGGAUUCCCCUAGUAACGGCGAGCGAACCGGGAGC